UGGGGAAUUUUGGUCAAUGGGCGCAAGCCUGAUCCAGCCAUGCCGCGUGAGUGAAGAAGGCCUUCGGGUUGAAAAGCUCUUUCGGUUGGGAAGAAAUUGCCUGGGUUAAUACCUCAGGUAGAUGACGGUACCAGCAUAAGAAGCACCGGCUAACUACGUGCCAGCAGCCGCGGUAAUACGUAGGGUGCGAGUGUUAAUCGGAAUUACUGGGCGUAAAGCGUGCGCAGGCGGUUGUGUAAGUCAGAUGUGAAAUCCCCGGGCUCAACCUGGGAACUGCAUUUGAGACUGCACGGCUAGAGUGUGGCAGAGGGGGGUAGAAUUCCACGUGUAGCAGUGAAAUGCGUAGAGAUGUGGAGGAAUACCGAUGGCGAAGGCAGCCCCCUGGGCCAAUACUGACGCUCAUGCACGAAAGCGUGGGGAGCAAACA
rnacentral:rRNA from 1 species